GUCCUGGUACUUUUCCUCCUUCAUAUGACAAGAUGGCGGGUAUUUUGGAUUCCAGUCCAGAACUGCAGUUACAGGCAGUUAUGUGCUGUCACAAGAAACCGCAUCAUAUUGUUGAUUUUGUGGUGUUUGCCAUCGGGAUCAGUCCACACUGUAUCAUGCCAAUUACUAAAAAUAUAAGUGUAAACAAGAUUACAGGAAGUUACAUUGGACUGAC